rnacentral:rRNA from 1 species
AUUGAACGCUGGCGGCAGGCCUAACACAUGCAAGUCGAGCGGAUGACGGGAGCUUGCUCCUUGAUUCAGCGGCGGACGGGUGAGUAAUGCCUAGGAAUCUGCCUGGUAGUGGGGGACAGCGUUUCGAAAGGAACGCUAAUACCGCAUACGUCCUACGGGAGAAAGCGGGGGACCUUCGGGCCUUGCGCUAUCAGAUGAGCCUAGGUCGGAGUAGCUAGUAGGUGAGGUAAUGGCUCACCUAGGCGACGAUCCGUAACUGGUCUGAGAGGAUGAUCAGUCACACUGGAACUGAGACACGGUCCAGACUCCUACGGGGGGCAGCAGUGGGGAAUAUUGGACAAUGGGCGAAAGCCUGAUCCAGCCAUGCCGCGUGUGUGAAGAAGGUCUUCGGAUUGUAAAGCACUUUAAGUUGGGAGGAAGGGCAGUAAGUUAAUACCUUGCUGUUUUGACGUUACCGACAGAAUAAGCACCGGCUAACUCUGUGCCAGCCGCCGCCGUAA